AGUUAAGCUCUGAGGGAAUGGAGACAAUUAAGUGUGGAGGAAGAGGCUCACGUCAUGUCAUGUUUCCUCUUACACGUGGAUUCUAUUCAUUCAUCGUUUACUGAGCUCUGUGUCAGGCACUGUGCUAGAUGCCGGGGCUCCUGCGUAGAAGACAGGGAAAUAUUUACACUUGAAGAAAGAGUAAGAUGUUCCCAGGCAAAGGUGGUCAAGGAAGACAGUGCAGGCUGAGAAAGUUUGCUCGGAGUUUUGCGGCAUCUCCCAGGUCUUGGUUAUGCAUGGAGUCCAGGGUUGCAGGACCCAAAUAUGGCUGCUUCAGCUGGCCCAGGCUUUCCAGAAAUGUGAGGACAGUGAUCUCCCGACUCUUCCCCUGCAGCCUGUGGCAAAAACACAAAGUACACUUGAGACCAGGAAGUCCAAGGAGCCUUGCUCAUUCCUGGAAUAUACUAGGAAAAAUACAGCCCGUUGUCCUUGGUCGAAGACGUAGUGGAAAGCAAAUUAAAAUGAAGUCCAGUCCCACUCUGCUGUUCUCUGUGUGCACCUG
rnacentral:lncRNA from 13 species